rnacentral:misc_RNA from 1 species
GAUGAAGAACGUAGCGAAAUGCGAUAAGUAAUGUGAAUUGCAGAAUUCAGUGAAUCAUCGAGUUUUUGAACGCAUAUUGCGCCCUCUGGUAUUUCGGGGGGCAUGCCUGUUCGAGCGUCAUUAAAUAACCCUCAAGCAUAGCUUGGUGUUGGGCUUUUUUACGUCCUUGACUGGGAUGGGCCUAAAAAUUAGUGGCGAUGGCUUUUUUACUUUCAAGCGUAGUAAAUCUCGUCUUGCUAAAGAGGAAAAAGAUUUUUUUUCUGCCAAAAAUUUUAACAUUUAAAGUUGACCUCGGAUCAGGUAGGAUUACCCGCUGAACUUAAGCAUAUCAAUAAGCGGAGGA